AGCCGUUUGGGACAUCUGUAAACGAUAAUUGACAAUGCAAUCGUAAUCGUAAACAGAAUCUUAAUCAGGCCAGCAAUCGUAAAUAUAAUUGCAAUUGGCUUUUUAAUGCCCCAAUUAAUGCGCAAUUUAAUUGAUUAUCGUACAAUUUCUGGCUUUGAUUAAUAUUCUAUUUACCGGUGCUAUUUGCAAAGCAACGGUUUCGUUCUUAUUUAAUGUCCGCUUUGUAGCCCUUUUUUAAAUGCCCGAGCAAUGCUCAGUCUUAACCCAUCCUCCCUAUUUUCUGGCCUGUUAGCGCGCGCCACCAAGCGGACACGGCGAAACUAGUACUUCCCCCUUCAUGGUGUUCACAUGAGGCGGCAAAGGCAGACAAGAUAGACGUCAAAGAAGAGAUAGGCAAUUGUAUCAAGGAUUUUUACCAAUAUUUUCAGCCCCAGCGGUUUUUCAUCCUCCAUUGUUAUCGAGUCGCAACUCGCAAAUCCAGUUCUGUUACUUUUACACGUGGUCGACACGUCGAUACAGAGAGGCAUGGCAGAUCAAAUUCCGAGAUUCAAUGACAACAAUUCACCUGGUGUCACAAACCAAGUUAACACCUUCAAUCAGAACAAUUCACCUGGUGUGUCAAACCAUAUGCUCAACAUGGAUGCAAACAGCUCACCUGCUGUGGCAAACCAGGCUGAGAGACUAGAUGACAAUGGGAAUCUGUCUGUUCUUCGAACUUCUCACCAGUUGCUUCUAUUUAGCGACCAAACUCAAAAGUCAUUGGAUGCACAUCAGCUUGCCAUUUAUUUAGGAUGAACCUGGUAGAGACGGAGGAGAUCCCGAUGAUUGGGACCAAACUGUUCAUACUAUUCCCGCUGUGGAUGUCGCUGCUUUUCGUUGUCCAUUGAAUGCUGAGCAGUUAUUCGAGAUGGAGAGGCGCAUCAGAAAAGAACAGAUUGAUCUCUAAAGUUUACAAAUUAAAUACUAGAAAGUGAAAAAUUAUGUUUUGAACUCAAUUGGUUAACUGAGCCCUUUUUAUUUGCCUUUCUAACACUUCUCACUCUGCCAACUCAUUCCAAUACGUGUCGAAAUUGGCUGUUGAUGUGUCCACUUGCUGGUUCAUGUGAAAGUCAAUAAAAAGCGUAACGAUAGGUCUUAACGUUA
rnacentral:misc_RNA from 1 species